rnacentral:tRNA from 1 species
AGGAAUGUAGCUCAGUGGUAGAGCACUUGCCUAGCCUAAGCAAAGUUCUUGGGUUCAAUCCCCAGGACUGCAA